rnacentral:rRNA from 1 species
AGAGCUUGAUCCUGGCUCAGAUUGAACGCUGGCGGCAUGCCUUACACAUGCAAGUCGAACGGUAACGCGGGGGCAACCCUGGCGACGAGUGGCGAACGGGUGAGUAAUACAUCGGAACAUAUCCAGUAGCGGGGGAUAACCUAUCGAAAGAUGGACUAAUACCGCAUACGAUCUACGGAUGAAAGCAGGGGACCGCAAGGCCUUGCACUAUUGGAGUGGCCGAUGUCGGAUUAGCUAGUUGGUGAGGUAAAGGCUUACCAAGGCGACGAUCCGUAGCUGGUCUGAGAGGACGAUCAGCCACACUGGAACUGAGACACGGUCCAGACUCCUACGGGAGGCAGCAGUGGGGAAUUUUGGACAAUGGGCGCAAGCCUGAUCCAGCCAUGCCGCGUGAGUGAAGAAGGCCUUCGGGUUGUAAAGCUCUUUCGGUGAAGACGAAACGGUUAGCGCUAAUAACGCUGACUAAUGACGGUACUCACAGAAGAAGCACCGGCUAACUACGUGCCAGCCGCGGUAAUACGUAGGGUGCAGGCGUUAAUCGGAAUUACUGGGCGUAAAGCGUGCGCAGGCGGUUUGCUAAGACAGGUGUGAAAUCCCCGAGCUUAACUUGGGAAUUGCGCUUGUAACUGGCAAGCUAGAGUGUGGCAGAGGGGGGUGGAAUUCCACGUGUAGCAGUGAAAUGCGUAGAUAUGUGGAGGAACACCGAUGGCGAAGGCAGCCCCCUGGGUUAACACUGACGCUCAUGCACGAAAGCGUGGGGAGCAAACAGGAUUAGAUACCCUGGUAGUCCACGCCCUAAACUAUGUCAACUAGUUGUCGGGGAAGAAAUUCCUUGGUAACGAAGCUAACGCGUGAAGUUGACCGCCUGGGGAGUACGGCCGCAAGGUUAAAACUCAAAGGAAUUGACGGGGACCCGCACAAGCGGUGGAUUAUGUGGAUUAAUUCGAUGCAACGCGAAAAACCUUACCUACCCUUGACAUGCUAGGAAGCCCGCAGAGAUGUGGGUGUGCCCGAAAGGGAACCUAGACACAGGUGCUGCAUGGCUGUCGUCAGCUCGUGUCGUGAGAUGUUGGGUUAAGUCCCGCAACGAGCGCAACCCUUGCCAUUAGUUGCUACAUUCAGUUGGGCACUCUAAUGGGACCGCCGGUGACAAACCGGAGGAAGGUGGGGAUGACGUCAAGUCCUCAUGGCCCUUAUGGGUAGGGCUUCACACGUAAUACAAUGGUCGGUACAGAGGGCUGCCAACCCGCAAGGGGGAGCUAAUCCCAGAAAGCCGAUCGUAGUCCGGAUUGUAGUCUGCAACUCGACUGCAUGAAGCCGGAAUCGCUAGUAAUCGCGGAUCAGCAUGUCGCGGUGAAUACGUUCCCGGGUCUUGUACACACCGCCCGUCACACCAUGGGAGUGGGUUCCACCAGAAGUAGUUAGCCUAACCGCAAGGAGGGCGAUUACCACGGUGAGAUUCAUGACUGGGGUGAAGUCGUAACAAGGUA